UUAUAAUCUACAAGCUCUCCUACUUAUCUGGUUCCACAGUAGGAAGUUAGAGAAGCGUGUGUUUGUCAUUUCAUGGUGAUUUAUUAUGCCUCUGCUAAGUACAUUUGAAAUAACAGGCUGCGCUAUAACACUCAACCCUUGAUAAAGGGUGAUUUCUAAUCACAGUGAACCAGGGGAAGACUGUAGUCUAAAAGUAAGGAAGCUAUGUCCAUCAGAUGGUUAGUGCCCAAGUUCCAGAGAAACAUAGUGUCCUCUUUCAUAACUGAGCGAUGCCUCUAUUACAUACUGUUAGGACCUAAUUAUUGAUAAAAUCAAGACUUUUCCAUAUCUAGCCACAUUUAAUUUCUCAAGACAGUCCAAAAGAUCAUGAGUCAAAAUUCUUUGCUUCUUGCCAAUCACCUAAGAUAAAAACUAAACUGGAGAGUUGACCUCCUUUCUAGUAAAGGACAACAGUGACAAAAAUACUUGGAAAAGCAACUAAUUUACUUUCUGGUGCCUUAUAAUCCCUCUCCUCCCUUGCCCUCAGCGACUAAUUUUUUAAAGAAUAAAUAUUUUAAAGCCAACAAAAUAAUGUUUCAAUAAAAUGCUCAAAAAUCAUGAUUGGACAACGUGGAUUCUUCAGCAAAUACGACAGAACAACACAAUGGGAGGAUGAACAAAAAAUUGAAUAGAUUUUAUUUGAAUUUACCUUUGGUCUAGGGAUCCAAAUGUGGUAUAACUGGAAGAGACAGACUAUUUUUAGAGAGAUAAAGCAUUUUUUAAAAAAUCUGACAAAAUUUCCCUUGAAAGACUUCUCCCCCCAGUGCUGGGAUGCAGGUGAGUAGAAGUGGCGAUGCAGCUACUGCAAACAUCAUGGGACAAAGGCUCAAGAGGCUGAAGGCCAAGUACAAGCAACUAACUCUGAAUUCUUCAGAAAGAAUUGUGACAGGCCCCAUGAGUGAAGAGAAUUUUUUUGAAUGAGAGGCAUGGAUCAUG
rnacentral:lncRNA from 1 species